ensembl:lncRNA
GAGAUGUCCUACAUGUCAGAGAGAGAGAGAGAUGUCCUACAUGUCAGAGAGAGAGAGAGAGAUGUCCUACAUGUCAGAGAGACAGAGAGAUGUCCUACAUGUCAGAGAGAGAGAGAGAUAUGUCCUACAUGUCAGAGAGAGAGAGAUGUCCUACAUGUCAGAGAGAGAGAGAGAUGUCCUACAUGUCAGAGAGAGAGAGAGAUGUCCAACAUGUCAGAUAGAGAGAGAGAGAUGUCCUACAUGUCAGAUAGAGAGAGAGAUGUCCUACAUGUCAGAGAGAGAGAUGUCCUACAUGUCAGAGAGAGAGAGAGAUGUCCUACAUGUCAGAGAGAGAGAGAGAGAUGUCCUACAUGUCAGAGAGAGAGAGAGAUGUCCUACAUGUCAGAGAGAGAGAGAGAUGUCCUACAUGUCAGAGAGAGAGAGAGAUGUCCUACAUGUCAGAGAGAGAGAGAGAGAUGUCCUACAUGUCAGAGAGAGAU